GUUUUCGUAGUGUAGUGGUUAUCACGCUCGCUUCACACGCGAGAGGCCCUGGGUUCGAACCCCAGCGAGAACA
rfam:Orchesella cincta Ocin01_Sc1358, whole genome shotgun sequence.